GUCCUGUUACCUGGUGCAGUAGCACCUCACACACCCAGUCUCGUGUCUCAUGCAAUGAAGAAGAUAUACAUAUUGGUUUCCUCUGAGAACAGCUAGAAAAAUAUUCUGAAGAGAAAUGAAGAUUAUAUACUGUAGCAGAUCCCACAAACACUUGCCAAGCCAAGGAAUAUGACAGAUGUAAAGAAGGGAAUAUCAGAAGGACUUGUGAUAUUGCUGAAGAGCUAGAGAUGUUCAUUUUCUCAUCUUGAAUACUUGGACCAAUUUAACUUGUUCUUCAAGUUAAAAAAGAAAAACAAAACAAAACAACCUGGAGAUGAAAUUGUCAAGGGAAUAUUUCUGCCACACAGAACCCAGUGAUGUAGCUCUUGGUCUGCAGGUCUAUAGAUACAUGAAGACUUGACGUAAGGAUGGAUCAUCAUAAGGACAUGGAAGAGGUACAGGCAAAUCCACUUUCAAGUGGUUUCAAGACAACAUCUUGG